CCUACGGGAGGCAGCAGUGAGGAAUAUUGGUCAAUGGGAGAGAUCCUGAACCAGCCAAGCCGCGUGAGGGAAGACGGCCCUAUGGGUUGUAAACCUCUUUUGUCGGAGAACAAAACCCGGGACGUGUCCCGGACUGCGUGUAUCCGAAGAAAAAGCAUCGGCUAACUCCGUGCCAGCAGCCGCGGUAAUACUGAGGAUGCGAGCGUUAUCCGGAUUUCGUGGGUUUAAAGGGUGCGUAGGCGGUCCGUUAAGUCAGCGGUAAAAUUGCGGGGCUCAACCCCGUCGAGCCGUUGAAACUGGCAGACUUGAGUUGGCGAUACGUACGCGGAAUGCGCGGUGUAGCGGUGAAAUGCAUAGAUAUCGCGCAGAACUCCGAUUGCGAAGGCAGCAUACCGGCGCCCAACUGACGCUGAAGCACGAAAGCGUGGGUAUCGAACAGGAUUAGAUACCCCUGUAGUC
rnacentral:rRNA from 1 species